CCUACGGGAGGCAGCAGUAGGGAAUAUUCGGCAAUGGGGGGAACCCUGACCGAGCAACGCCGCGUGAACGAAGAAGUUAUUCGUAAUGUAAAGUUCUUUUAACAGGGAAGAAAGAGAAAUUUGGCGGUACCUGAAGAAUAAGCUCCGACUAACUACGUGCCAGCAGCCGCGGUAAUACGUAGGGAGCGAGCGUUAUCCGGAAUUAUUGGGCGUAAAGGGUGGGUAGAUGGCAUAGUAAGUCUUUUGUAAAAAUGCUGGGCUCAAACCAGUAGGGCAAAAGAUACUGCAAAGCUAGAGUAUGACAGAGGCAAGUGGAACUACAUGUGUAGCGGUAGAAUGCGUAGAUAUAAGUAAGAACACCAGUGGCGAAGGCGGCUUGCUGGGUCGAUACUGACAGUGAGGCACGAAAGCGUGGGGAGCAAACAGGAUUAGAUACCCUGGUAGUC
rnacentral:rRNA from 1 species